GGCCUCGUAGCGCAAUGGUAGCGCGUCUGACUCCAGAUCAGAAGGUUGCGUGUUCAAAUCAUGCCGGGGUCA
rnacentral:tRNA from 1 species